UGUUUAUUUGAGAAGGAAGAUCUCAUACGACAGAAUACAAAAAUACACAUCUCAGUGACUUCCAUACAAUAAUAAAUAUGUAAUCAUGCAUCCAACAAUAAAAAGGCACAGAAAACUGGUCACUUAGUAGUCAUAAAAAUUACUAACUAUAUUAACAAAGCCACCCAAAUUAUCUGUACAAGGAAAUGUAACAAUAUAUUCCAAAGGUGAAAACACAUAAAACAUCUUUAAAAUAGUAUAUGCAAUAAAUACCUCAAUUGUUUUUAUAUAUUAAAAAUAAAACUGUGCCAUUGUAAACAGUAUGUAAACAAACAAAAUUCACUGUUCCUUACCAUUAUUACAAGUAAAUAAAGCCAAAAGUUACACCCCUGCCCUGUUAGAUAUAUUUCAUUGGCAAGUUUUGUCAGGCAGUUUAAAGUUUUAUUCUUUUCUGCAGCAAACAGAGCCUGCUAUGUGUGUAAUUCUAAGCAUUAGAGCAAUUGCUAAGCCUUAAAACUGACUGCCCAGGACAUAGUAGGUCAUCAAAGAGAACUGGAACUAGGAAAAGCAAUUCUUGCAGUGUUAUAGACAGAAGUAAUUUAUUUUUACUACAUAUAAUAGUGUGGGUAAAACUCAGCUGUUUAUAUAACACUGCUCUCCGACAGGACUUGAGGGGGCUGUACAGAGGUGGUGAGCAUCCCUAUUCCCUUCGGUGGAGAAAGUGAGGUACUCAGAGGUUAACUACACUGCCCCCAGUCUUACACCAGCUCCACUGGCAAGAAACCAAAGGCAGAAUCCAGACCUUCAGCCACUUCCUCCUCAUUUCCUCAGAUAUCACAUGGCCUUGCAGACAAAUAAAGGUGUGUCCUGAACUCCAGUCCUGAUUAGAAUUGCAGAAAGCCAACCAAUACGCAAAAGGAAAGGAGUCUGCUUGCUUGGCACCUGUCUGCCCCCACUGACAACCACAGAGCCUUGCCACCAUGUGAAGCACCAAGGAGCUUUUUCUCCCACCAAUCUGUGGUCAGAGCCACAUUAGCAGACUAACGAGCCGAGACAGAGCCCUGUGUAUCCUUUGCAAACAUAUUGAUUGCCUCAAAUGUCUAUUCUUUGAGGUCUGUUUCCACAGCCAACAAACUCCUAGAAAUUUCAACCAAGGUGCAUACUUCCUGCCUUAUUAGCAAAGGGAAGGAUAGGAAUCUGAAUAUGAUCCUUUCUUAAACAAAAUUAUAGGAAAAGAUUCCUGGAAGUGGUGGGCAUUUGCACAGAUGUCUUCAGAAAGAGCCUUGCGAAGGAAGGUGUCUGCUUUGUUAUUUCUUCAGCUUUUGAUAACCUUGACAUACUACAUCAUUUUACAAGUCCGACUACCCCUGGGAUGACUUAUCUAUGAUAAAUAUAAACUUACCUGUUCCCAACAUAUGUAUUUCAAAGUGCAUGACAGCUCUUGUUUAAAAAUGGUAUUUUAGCCUUAGAUGAAGAAAUUAGGAUGCAUCUAUCUAGCUGUUUCACAGCCAUAUGGUUUUUUUACAGGAAGAAUACACUUUGAGCAUGCAUAAUUAAAAGAUACCCUGGAAAGGGAUUUAGGAAGCGCUGCAUUAUGGUAUAUUUCCUCCUUGUGCUAUUAAAGAACUGUUCCUUCUGCUUUUAGACAAGUGAUUUCUCUAAUGUCAAGCAGCUGUCUGACUUGCCUUACCAUUUAACAUUUUCAUCAUUUUAACUGAUCCAUGGAAUAUAAAGUCAUUCAACACACUGGCUCUGAAGAUACCUCCAUGUCUUGAUGAGAAGCUUAAACCCACAUACUUACUAUGUAACUUUUUUUUUUUUCCCCAAUAAGGUACUUCUGGAUAAGGUACUUCAAGUGUCUUAUACCAGAUCUGCAAAGACAGGUGAGCUGCAUGAGAUCAGUAAGUAUAGAAAACAGACAGAACUACUUUUUAUCAUGGAAUAAUUCUUCACAUUCACCUGCCACAUUGCAUUCCCUCUUUGUGAGAUGAGAGAGGCAUGAAAGGUGAUCUCUUUUUAGAGGAUUCUGUAUUAAAUCUUACAAAAGUUAUUUUAGAAGGUAUUUUCUUAGACAUAUUCAAGGACCAGAUCAAUGAAAAAUUCUGUACAGUCUCUGAGGCAUAUAUUCCCACCUGUGUUGUAGUUUGCAGGUUCCAUAGAAAAAUCCAAAUAGAAACUGCAUAUUUCACAUUGGGAAAAAAUAAAUACAUUUCACUCAUUAAAAAAAUUAUCACAGUAGGAAAAUAGCCCGUAAACAAUAGAUUCAGAAGAGUCUAAUCUUGGCCCCAGUGAGAUCAAUGGGAGCUUUGCCAAGGAUUUCAAAAAAGCCAACAUUUCACCCAGAAUCAUAUACAAUUCUUUAGCUGACAACAAUCAUAAACAUCCUGCCACCCCAUUGUAUAAGUUAAAUAUUAAUAAGCAUCUGUAAACAUCCUGCAAGUUAUCUGAUAUAAAAAAAUACUAUAAUAAAAACAAUGCAGCAUCUCAAGCACUGUAUAGUUUUAAGUUUUUUUGGCUCAACACACAAGUUGGCAUUGUUAUAUUGGGCAAAACCAGGGCAUGUAUAUACAUUUCUAUGUACAGGUGUGCUCUCACAUAAACAUUAUGAACUAGGUGCUACAUAUCUACACACAUCCACACAAAUACUGUCAAGAGAAUGACAUUCAUAGGUAUGGCACAUAAAAGCUUACCCAUGGUCAAUUUGAGGACUGCUUUUAUGUGAGGAACAAUAUCUCUCCAAGAAAAUCAUCUGUAUGCUUACAUGUAAAUGCUAUAAAUGAAAGACAAGAACAAUCUCCAAGGGGCCUAAAGUACUAUUAAAAGCAUAGCAUAUGCCUAAGUCCCAAAAGAUUUAUAUGAUUGCAAAGAUGAUGGACUUUCUUGUGGAAUAAACAGGAAAAAGGGGAAACAAAGGGCAGAAACUUCUGAAUAUGUGCCAGUAGAUAUUAGAUGUUUUCAUCUAACCUGUUAGAUGUUUUUAUCCAACAAAGCAUGUUAGAUGUUUUAAUUUUCAAUUGAAUAUAGGUUUGGACUGAGUGGAAAUCACAUGUUUCAUCUCUUUGCUACAAACUGCCAUUUAGACACAAAUAUAUGAGUUAUGCAGAGAACGAGACAGUGUCCCAUUUCUGCAACGCUUCCAUGCAUACUUCAUGCAUCCAUUCAUGCAGGUAAGUGGAUGUCACUACAGAAUUAACUAACAGCUGUACUUGACUGGAAUACCAGUGUAAGUUACAAGUCUGGCUAAUGACAGAAAUCACCCAUGCUUGGCUGGGAUCCUCUCAGAACUUUUGAAAUACCUUUAGAUGAAAUUUACCUUUCUUAAAUGCCAGAACAUACAUUAAAAAUACAUUAAUGCAAUUCCAUAGUGCUCAACAUUUGAAGAUACCUGCUCUAGACAGACAGAUGUGACAGUGAGAAGUUUCAUUAGUUCAUUAGUGAUUGAUAGGUUUGCCAUCACCAUGAAUUAAGACAAGAAGCUGCUAAUAUUGUAUGACGUUAAAUUAUUUUUGUGUGAUGACAGCAACAAAGAAGGGCCAAGGGAAAGGUGCAGAAAUCAGGCCCUCUUCACCUUUCAGGAGCAUCUCAACAGCUUGUACUCCUCAUGUACAAAUCCCAUCUAUUUAUUGCAUGUCUCAUCUGCCACUGUGAAUAUCACCUUGCCCUUUGAUGAUCCUGUCGACAUACAAGCAUAUUACAUUUUUAAGGUAACUGGCAGCUCUAGGGAAAUGCCUAGAAGAGUUUCAGCUCUUUUAGGAUUCAAAGGAUAUGAUGUAAAAAGGUGGCUAAUGAAACAAAUUAUUUCAGGACAGGUUCACAAGUUAUGCUCCUUGAAUUGGAAAAAUGGUUAUUUUUGUCAAAUAUGGACAAACACAUUUUUCAAGGUACCCAAUUUAAGGAGACAUAAAACAAAGACAGAAAGUACGGACACCACAAAUGACAGAUGCCUGUAGAAAAUCCUCUGUGGCUAGACAUACAGUCCAAAUGCCUGUUUCAAUGUAUAGAUGUGGCAUCUUGUGAGAGGACAGUGCUACUAGGAACCUUCACAAUGACAAUAUGCAUGCCUGUGUGCUCCUUGUAAACCUUCCUAAACUAUCCGACUAGAAAAUCUUGUAUCCUUGAAAUUCUCAUUAAAAGCCUCCAGGCCCUACUGUUCAGCACACGUGCUCUCCCCAUCCUUGAAAAGCAAGACCAAGCAGCUUUGAAUGGCUUUCCUCACUCUCCCUGUUCACAAAAUAAUUGACCGUGACUGCAAAGAGAAUUAGUCCCAAACAGAGCUUACUUACACUAACACCAGGAGAAAAACAUAGUUAUAUCUCUAACUCUUUCCCUGUUACUGGCACUGUCAGGUUAUUAAUUAAACUGGUUUUUAUCCAAUUAAUGCUUUAGUUUAAAAAAUUUGGGACUUAAAAUGCUAAUUCCCUUUAAAAAGUCAUAGAAGGGAUUUGGGGCACUAUGGAGAUUUUCUUUUUGGCUUUACACACAGUUUCCAUAAUGAAAACAAACCAUCCAAUUUUACUUUUAGCUCAUUUCUUCCUGUUCCCACCUUCCAGUUCAUACACUCUUGUCAGCUAUACCUGGAUCAAACAUAGCUCCCUAAAAUUGUUUCCAAUGAAUUUGGAAAAAGAUAGUUGCAAAUGACUUAAAAUUUAGUACCACAUUGCAUUUAUAUUCAGUAGUUUUUCAAUCCUAACACUAGUCUUUGAAUAAUACUACAAACUAUAUUUUUCCAAAAUAUUUGUUCCACAGAAUAAAAUAUUAAUUGCCCAUUUGGAUAUUGUCCUACUAAUAGCUACCAUAAUGUUCAGUAUUUUCAAUGUCUUACAGAGCUGGUAGAGUUCGCCAAAACACUUCUCUUGCCAAGGGUAUUCUGGUAGCUCACGUUAAUUGUUAGAUAAGAGCUUCCAGAAGGGACUACAAAAAUAUAACUUAAAAGAUUUUAGUCCAUCAUGGCUAUGCUAGGCUUUGGAGCCUGAAGCCUUGGUGUAUAUUUCUCUCCUCAAGCGCCCUACAACUUUUUCCUGGCCUGCCUGUCCAGCUCUUCUGAACAAAAACCAUAGACAGACAUGCAAGGGUCUCAUCUUGCCCGAAGCUGGGAACUCAUCCAGACACAGAAGCUGGGAAGCAAGGUAAAAACAUUAACAAAGGCAUGACUGGUGUUAAAUAUAAAUAAAGCACCAGCUUCUUCGGCCCCACUAAUGCAAGCAAUAGGUUAUAUGAACUCAAAAUCCCAUCAGAGAGCUCAUCAAGUUUUUGUCAACUGGGAAACAAGUCUUUAAUUAUUUAAAACAGAUGUUUGUAGUUCUACCAUGUGCAUAUAUGAAUUUUCUGUUGAUUGUUCCGAAGGUGAUAGGUCUUUAACCACUAUAGCUAAAUUGAUUAAAAUUUGUCCAGGAAUACUCUUGGGUACAUAUUCAUCAGCAUUUUGCUUCUUUGCAGAAGUGUUAGCAAUGCUAAUAUUUUUUAAUUUACAUAUGACAAAGGGAUGAUGUUUGAAGAUUACUUCUAUACACUGAAAAAACCUACAAACUUUUCAAAUUUUUUUUAGUUAAAGUAUUGACAGUGAUCACUAUUAAGCCUACAGAAGUUGCUUUAAAUUUUAGUAUUAGCUCCAGCUGGGUACAGAAAUAGUCCUCUCUAGAUGGCUUCCAAAUGGAUUACAAUUUCUGAGAAACACACUGGUCUUCUGUAUGGCAGAAACAAACAUUUCAAGUACAUAAGCUAACACUUAACAGAGCUAUGAAAUGCAAAUUCUACUAAUGCAACAGUAGUAGAAAACAACUAGAAAAAGUUUUUUCUUUUUGUAAAAAAUAUCCAUUCUAACUAUACUCUAGAUAUAAAUACAGGAAUUUAUACAACCAGUAAAGAUUUUAUAUUGACAAAGCAUCAUUUGGUAAUU
rnacentral:lncRNA from 1 species